UUAUUUGAAGAGAAGUCUUGUUAUGUAUAUGCCCUCUGUAGUUUGUUUUUAUUUGCAGAAAAAUAUUAUAAUAUAUUUGGGAAAUGCAUAUGCUUGCUAAAACCAUCGGUUAUCCCCCCUUUGGCCUUUGUUUACAUUUACCUUGAGCUCUUACCUUACCGGAACACCAGAGCUGGAAAAUGCCAUACAAACUGCUAUGAGAAAAAUUUAAAUCAUGAGCAUGAUGAUUUAAAAGUACAUGUAGGAAUAGACUUGAUAUGAAAGUAAAAGAUACCUACAUGUACUUAUGAAGAAGAUAUACAAGUUGCAGAAAAAAGAUCAGAGAAGAAGUUAAAUUCUUUUGCAGAAAAACUGAUGAAAAAAGCUAGAGAAAGCAAAAAGGACAGUUCAUAUCAUCAUUUCAGAGAAAGUUGUGUUUCCUCUUCAUCAUUGUUUUACGCUUGAUUCUGCAAUAUAAUUAAUCAUUUGAAUCAAAUUCGGCAAGAUACAAAAGAUCUCCUUAUAUUUACUUUGUUUGCAAUCAGUAUGUUAAAUAAAACAAGAAUGUAUAGAAAAAGGAAAAGUAAAAGAAAUACUUCAGAUGGGACAAAACAGAUCAAAGGGCAAGACAGUUUACAGACAAAGAAUGGCAAGAACAAACUUUCCAGAAAAAGGAAAGAAGACAUUCGGAAAGAAAAAACUAUUAAUAUAAAUUUUAGAAAAUCUGCAAAUGAAACAUUGAAGUGUGAUACCUGUAAUAAGACGUUUAAAACAAAAGGAUCUCUUUCAAAACAUGCUAAAAUACACAUGGGUGUAAAGGCGUACAUCUGUGUUAGAUGUGGAAAAGCGUUUGGCCGUCUAGAUGUUUUACGACGCCACUUAUUGAUUCACACAUCUGUUAAACCUUACCUUUGCCAUACAUGUGGCAAAGGGUUCUGUGAAAGUGGGGCACUUGUAAAACAUGAGCGAAUACAUUUAAAUGAGAAGCCUUAUUCGUGUGAUGUAUGUCAAAAAAGUUUUAGUCAGCGAAGUAAUUUAAAUUCACACAAACGAAUUCAUACUGGAGAGAAACCAUUUGGAUGUGAUGUAUGUGGUAAAUGUUUUAAUAAGAGUAAUACCUUGAGUCAACAUAUAAAGACGCACACUGGAGACAAGCAGUUCAUAUGUUCUUUUUGUAGUAAACGUUUUGUGCAACGGAUUCAGUUACAGAUGCAUGAAAGAAUUCAUAAAAAGGAAAAACCGCAUGCAUGCUCCCUAUGUCAUCGACAAUUUUGUCAGAUGAAUCAGCUACAAAGACACGAAAGGUCAAAGUGCAAGAAAAUAAAAUUAUCUGUUGGUACUCAAACGGUCAAAACAGAACAAACUGCGGAAAACCUAGAUAUAACCAGCAUUGAUGAUGAUGAUGAUGAUGAUGAUGAAACAAUGUCUUAUUCAGAUAUGUAAUAAAACCAGAUAUGAUAUCAAUUAUUUUUAUAACACCAUAGAUAAGUUAGAUUCAUGAUAAUUGUAAUGAUUGACCAAUGGUCUUUUGAUGAGAAUGCAAUAGGAUAUGUAUUUUUAUUCAUGUUAUACAAAAGAAAAAAAAAUGUAGAAUCAUUGUACCAGUAAGAGAUUUUCGAAAAGGGCAUUAAAAUUUGAAAUGACAGGAAUAAAUUGUGCCAAUUUCAGAAAGCAGACAGAGUUGAUAAUAUUGAUAAUGUGAACACAGGUUAUGGUCUAACACUAUUCCUAUAAUUUGUUGUUUAAACUCAAAACAAUGUGAGUUUAAAUGCUUUUGAAAGGAUUCUCUUCUGUUUGUUGCUUAAAUUUUACUGUCAAUAUGUACAUAUAUACGAGAUGUACCAAACGAAGACAAUAUUUUUUUUAGUACUCAAAAGUUUUGCACCUGGUUCCCGAUUGUCUUCUGUCGUAACUUGACAUGAGUUAAACCUUGGCAAAUUGAAAAAAAAUAAAUCAAACAAAACACAGUAUUAUUGAAGGUCAUAUAUACAUGUAUGUUGACCUCUAUAGAUGUCUUUUGAUUAUAAAAAAAAAUUGUAAUGAAUUGUGUUUCUUUCUUGUUGGCGUAAACCAAAAAAUCUCCUUCUAGUUUAAGCAGUGGGAUGUUCAGGCCUUAUGCCUAUUAUAAUUCUGUGCAAUUUUCAAUUAUUAUAGCUAUUAAGAUACAAAUAUACCAAUGGACUACAAAUAAACAUUUUCAAUAGCUAUCUUCACCAAUGAGUAACAAUGAAACCUACAGGUAAAAUGUAAAGGGUAGUCUCAAAACCAGCAAUUGUAUUUACUACUUCUGUCUGAUUUGUCAUGAUUAUUUCUGUAAUAUAUACUUAGUAACUAUACCUAUAUGUUGUAAAACCUUUGUUUAAUAAGAAUUACAUGUCUGUU